UACGUAGGGGGCAAGCGUUGUCCGGAAUUAUUGGGCGUAAAGAGCUCGUAGGCGGUCCGUUAAGUCGGAAGUGAAAUCUCAAGGCUCAACCUUGAAACUGCUUUCGAUACUGGCGGACUUGAGGCAGGUAGGGGAAGGUGGAAUUCCUGGUGUAGCGGUGAAAUGCGCAGAUAUCAGGAGGAACACCAGUGGCGAAGGCGGCCUUCUGGGCCUGUUCUGACGCUGAGGAGCGAAAGCGUGGGGAGCAAACAGG
rnacentral:rRNA from 1 species